rnacentral:rRNA from 1 species
CCUACGGGAGGCAGCAGUGAGGAAUAUUGGUCAAUGGGCGCGAGCCUGAACCAGCCAAGUAGCGUGAAGGAUGAAUGCCCUACGGGUUGUAAACUUCUUUUAUAAAGGAAUAAAGUGAGGCACGUGUGCCUUUUUGUAUGUACUUUAUGAAUAAGGAUCGGCUAACUCCGUGCCAGCAGCCGCGGUAAUACGGAGGAUCCGAGCGUUAUCCGGAUUUAUUGGGUGUAAAGGGAGCGUAGAUGGGUUUUUAAGUCAGUUGUGAAAGUUUGCGGCUCGACCGGAAGAUUGCAAUUGAUACUGGCAGCCUUGAGUACAGUUGAGGUAGGCGGAAUUCGUGGUGUAGCGGUGAAAUGCUUAGAUAUCACGAAGAACUCCGAUUGCGAAGGCAGCUUACUAAACUGCCACUGACAUUGAUGCUCGAAAGUGUGGGUAUCAAACAGGAUUAGAUACCCUAGUAGUC